GUGAGGGUUAAGUGGUGUCCCCUCCCCCCCCCAAAAAAAUUCACAUGUUGGAGUCUUAUUUUCCAGGACCUCAGAAUGUAUUGGGGCUUUGGAAGAAGUAAUAAAUUAAAAUGAGGUUCUCGGGGUGGUGGUGUAAUCUGUGAAGACACAGAGGGAUGGUGGCCGCCCACCUCCAGCCACAGGGAGAGGCCGGGGACAGCUUCUCCUGUCACAGCCCUUGGGAGGAACCGACCCUGCUGACUUCAUGACCUCAGGCUUCCAGACUCCAGAAUGGUGAGAUAAUAAGCAUCAAUUCUAGAAGCAGCCCAGCCUGUCAUCCUUUGCGGGGACGGCCCAGCAGACCAAUGCAGAGUGUGAGAGCUUUACUGGGGGCAACAUGUGUGAGGAGUACGAGGCAAAAGCAGAGCUGCCCAGCAUCUCUGUCCCCAUGUGGUCCUUCUUUAUUGUCUGCGGCACAUGUGAGCCCAGCCCCGCUGCCUGCCUUCUCUCAGUUUCUGGGGCAUCCACCAACCGGAGUAGACCCUGCGUGCUGGCCGUCCUCUGCGGGGGUGUCACAUGGCCAGACCACCAGGCAUGGGGGCUCGUCUAGGGCAGAUCUGCACAAGUCUAGAGUGAGGCUAAUGAGUGACCUUUCCUGAUUCUAGUCCUGAGGCCCUGAAAUUGGACUUUACAAAUAUUUAUCGCUUCCAGAAUUGUUUCUCCAGAAUAGCCUCAUGUUCUAUUCACUUUUAUUGUAUAAUAAACUACCCUGAAACACAGUGGCUUAACAUAGGUGCCAUUUCAUUGUAGGUACAGCCUGUGGGUCAGGAAGCUAAGCAGGCUCUGCUGGGCAAGUCUUCUGUGUCUUGGGUGCUGUUGGAGCUCUUCCAUGGUGUUCAUGGGACUGGGUCAGCCUCACUUAGGCCUAGGGCACUUCAGUGGGUUCGCUGGAUGGCGGUGGUGGGGGCGGGCAGACUGGUGAUCCAAGCGACCAGGGGAGGUUUCCCCAGGGCUGCCAUCUCAGGUGGCCAAUUCCUGAGGUCCCGUGUCCCAGGAAGCCAUCUUCCUCACCUUGGAAGUCCCCUAAAAUCACCUCAGCCACUCUCUUGGCCAAGCCAAUCACCACUGGAAGACAUGAGGAAGUACAUGCCUGUACCCACAUUGAUGCCUCUGAGUAUCCAGAGGAAUCCCUAGACACUGGGUCCUGGAGACUGCAACUCCAGAUGACCCUGGCCCUCUGGACCUCACUGUCACAUGGGAGAGCAUUGGACUUUUGUUCUGCUGGACACACUGGAUGUUUGAGUCUUCUUUGAGCAGUUUGGCUUGCUCUCGAAUCCACUAGGCAAGAAACAUGAGGAGCUGGUGUUUUAGGGAGGCUUGGCAGGGCUACAAAGAGUGAACUGGAAGAGAAUGGGAACACAUGCAGGGGGAGAUGCUGUCUGGCUUUCCCACCUUGCGGCUUGGGGUCCCAUCCAAGUGUCUGUCACUUGACAUUUGAGUCUAGGAUUGUCACUCAGCUCAUCAAAGUCUGUACUUUCUCCUGUUGGUUAGGGGGAAGUCGGAUGUUCCAAUCCAUGGAAUAGGAUGAGAAGACAGCCCCUGCAAAUACCAAAAGUACUAUUUUGAGAAUUUUGGCUUUUUAUCUCCAUAGUUACUGUUAAUUAGCUUCAGCUUUCUGGAGACUGUCUCUUGGCAUCCAGAAAUUAAGGAGAGAGAGCUUCUGACUGAUGCCACAGAGUUGAAAUGCAGCCAAGCCCUGCUGUCCAGGAGGGGCUCCCCAGGGUGCUGGGCCAGCUGCUCUGCCUGCAUGCGGAUGACUAGAUGGCGAGGAGGCCUAACCCCGUCACAAGCCAUAGGAACUGUACAACUCAGUGAGAGAAACUUCUGUACAGCAGAGCGGCUUAAAGCAUCCGGAAGAAAACCUGGAACCCAAGAGCAAA
rnacentral:lncRNA from 1 species